AGAAUUUAUCCUACAAAAGGUUCCAUCAAAACCCUAAAUAACAAAUUAGCUAUUCAUAAUAGUAUGUAAAACUACAAUACUAAAAGUCAUAACCAACAAUGAAAAAUAAGAAGAGGAAGGAAAAACUCGUAGAAGAAUUCCCCGCCUUGCUCCUAUUGUGUCUCUGCCUCCUUAGGUCUAAAAUAUGUCAAAAGUAUGUCCAACCUCCUCAAAAUAGCGUUUUUACAUGUAUUUAUACCAAGUAGGGUCGGGCCUAGACGAAAAAACCCUUUCUUGCGCGAACUAGGACUUCGCUCUGUAAAAGUUGAACAGCCACGCCGUAGGCUGCGCCGCACCAUGCGGCGCGUUAGUGUAUUUUAUCAGCAGCCUCAAAUUUUCGCAUCAGGCAGCAUUUUACACUACUGCGCCGUGCCUUGCGGCACCCCAUGCGGCGUGGUAGUGUAAUUUUCUCAGAGUGAACUUAUUUCGUCCUCUUUUAACAUCCGGACUUGGUACACUACCUCCAAACACGAUACCGGCUUAAUGUAUUGGGGUUUUACUCAGACUUCAAAGCUCCAAAUUGAUCAAUUUAGCUCCAAAUUAACUUUUGAGCGCAAGAUCACUUCCUUCAAGGCAUAAAACACGUACUAAGUGCAAUUCACUAUCAUUUGAACUCAAACGCACGUAAAAAAUGCAGUUAUUGGCAUGUAAUACUACAGCUAAAACACGGGUUUCUAGCUUAACAUCAACACCCCACACUUAAAGCAUUGCUCGUCUUCGAGCAAUCAAACUACACUUUAUAUAGACACGGCAUUUUUAAACAAUUCUCCUAACUCAUCACACCAAAAAUAUUUAAAAUAGACUAAGCACAAAAGCGUAACAUCUUCACCUCAAGAUUUGACUCACAAGUACCAUGCAUUAUUCACAACUCACCCACUUACUCUAACAUAGAGGUCAAGGAUUGCCUUUCCUUCAUGAAUCAAGUACCCUCGCACACAAAAAAGAGUAGUUCCACACAAUAAACUUUAAGAACACCUAGGAACUCAAGAUAGAAAGAAUUCACUCACUCUCAGAAAUAACAUUCAUAUGCCACAAAAGAUGCACCAUAGGCUUGCCCGUAGUGUACUACUCUACUAAUCGAGCUCAUUUAGUCUAGGAUCAAGUAGGACUUUAUUUGGUUGUAAUGUAGGAUGAGGGACGGGUAGGAUACAUUUAGAUAUAAGAGUGACUACACCUCCCUAAGUACUUUAAUACAUACACUUUAACAUUCAAGCACAUGCUUAUGUCAAACUAAAAAUCCACCUUCUCAUCAAUGUAUAUUAACUCCCAAACUUCUUUAAGCACCAGCACAAUUACAUCAAGAGUCACCACUUAUCAUGGAAUUUUGUUUCCACAACAAUACAACUUUUUUUUCCUUUUUUUUAUUCAUGUGGCUCUUACUUUUUUUUAAAAUAGUGCACAUUUCUCCUUAUUUCAUUAGUUNNNNNNNNNNNNNNNNNNNNCAAAUGGGUAAGGCUUGUAAUGUGGUUGCUAAAGAAACAAGAUUACACGCUCAAAGGGGUUAACUACGAUACAUAACAAUUAGGUGGGUAAAAUAUACAUAUCUGGCUCUACAAAAAAACGUCUAUAUCACUUCCAAGACUGAACAAAACUACUAUUUCGCUUUGCAAACACACAGGGCAAGUUCUAGGCAUCAAAUGCAAUGUACAGAAUAAAACAACCUCACACACACAUUGCACAUAACUCACUCAGGAUUCGAUUCAUCAAGACACUCUAGUCAAAGCAGUUAAGCAAAGUUAAAAUCAUACAAUUUAAGGUACUUCUACAAGAGUCAAAAACUGAGCCUAAGCGUCACAGCCAAAGUACUCACUAUUCUCAAGGCAUAACAAAGUCAAGAGAUAUUGCUUUAAUUCAAAACACAGCACAAUGGCUUAUAUUCCUAAAAAAACUCACUACACCCGGUUCAAACAGAACCCUUGAAAAAGAACCGUGGUUUAAAGAAAAACUAAGGGGUAAUUGCUACACUACCUAACAAAAGAAAAUCAUUUUGUUUUUUUUUUAGACUUAAAUCCCUCAAUAAAAUUGUCUAGUAUAUCCAUCGUCGGAAAAAGUCCAAUCUUUACUAUGUAAAAAAAAUAUUCAAUUAAACUAACAUAACUAAAAUAGCAUAGAAAGUCACCCAGACAAUCUCAUCACCCCACACUUAAAAUUGUGCAUUGUCUCCAAUGCACACCAUACUAAUAAGAGGGUAAAAGAAACUCCCUAGCAGGCCAAAGGACGAAGCACUACCAGCUCAUGGGGUACUCAGACUUCUCCCGGGUUUGGUCCUUUGUGCGGGUACCUCACACUUAGUUCCAACCAUCUGGCUUGUUGUUGCAUCCUUCCAAUAGUUUUGCUUUCCAUGCUCCUAGAAACUCAAAAAUCAACACAACAAAAAUAAUACAAUAAAAAAAAUAAAACAAAGCAGUAAAGCUGGGUUGCGUCCCAACAAGCGCUUGAUUUAACGUCGCGGCACGACGUGAAUCACUUUUUGCCUCUACUUUGAACUUAUGAAUUGGACCCCUAGUUUUGAUUUUGCUCUGUGAUCAUGCUUCUGGGGUGGCAAAACGAAUUUGACUAGCCCAAUAAAAUAAUGUAGUAUUCUGCACUUCUUAACCUUUGGAUGAGGUGUGUAUUCCUGACUUUCUGGCAAGAAGCAUUUCAGAAUGUAAGCACCUUGUUCCUCAUUCCUUGACUCCUCAAGUGGCUCGGACGACUCUAUUUCCAUAUCAUCAUCCAAACACAAUGUGGAAAAAUGCUUGGAGUGUGAACCAAUGCGCUCAACUACAAGAACAUUGGGACUGUCUACAUUCUCAACACUGAUGACAAUAGAGUCAACCAAAUAUGUAUCCUCAAUAUCCUUGGUUGACUCUAGUAUCUCUUCUACGACAUCGGCAUCCUCAAAAUCAAGUUCGAUUGAUUGUUGGUGUUUUACUCUGGCCUUCUCCUCUAGCUCCUCAAUUCUUGUAUCUAAUUCACGCUCUUCUUGGAUACUAUUCACAAUAUUGGCUUGUUGAGCAUUAAAAUUUCAACCAGUUGAGUCAUAUGAGCAUUCAAGUUGUGAAUAGUUUCCUCUUGCCUUUCUAUCUGCAGUUGUAAUUUACUAUGUUGUUCCAAAAUGCACUUUAACAUAUCUCCGAUCUUCUUUAGGUCAGCUUCCCUGGAUUCUUUGUUCUUAUUAACUUCACCAGAAAAAGAAGAACCAUCAAAAAUAAGGGGUUAAGGGAAGGUAAGAAAUAUAAGCACAACCGUAAAAGUGACCAUCUUGACCACCACACAUAUCACACACAUUCCACACAUAAGAUUGAGUUGGUGCACAAAACUCGUUCUCGGAAAUAUUUUGAUAAUUUUGCGCUGGGUGGUUUCCUUCACAAUAUGCAUAAGGAGGAUUAAAAGUAGAAUUACCACCAUCAAAAUUCUCAUAAUUCCAUGAUGCCAUGUUUCUCAAAUAAAACAAAAAUAAAAAAAUUUUAAAAAAAAUCAAAUACUAAAAAAUAAAAUAAAAGUUCAAACUUGAAACUUAGCAAUAUGUACACCUACAACUACACCGUUAGUUCCCCGACAACGGCGCCAAAAUUUGAUCACGCCCAACUAUGCAUUGUAAAAAGGACUAAGCGGUCGUUGCAAAUAUAAUAUGGUUUACAAGUCCGGAGUCGAAUCUCACAGAGAACUAAGGCCUAGCUACAGUUGUUCACUAUCACCAAGAAGACAAGCUUGAACAGUUCCUAACUUAUAGAUAUUAAUAUUCUUGUGUUUAACUAAUUAACUAACAAAUUAAAAUAGUAAAUUAACAACUACAGAUACCGAGGGUUAGAGACAAGAUUAAGGAGGUCUAGAGUUAUGAUUUUCCCAAUUGUCGGAAUCCUUCUCGCUAUAUCUUCUAUAAUUUCGCUUAAGUAUUCUCUACCUAUCAUGAGCACUCUUAUUACCGUAAAUUCUCCAGAGUAAUCACGACAAUUUACUAGACGCACUCUCCCGAGCUACGCUAGCUGGCUUUUAAUACAGCUCACUUCACAUUGCACCCAAGACUUCGUUAUCCCUAAUCCCGCCUUUAAACCCUUGGUUAUUGAUUCCUCGCAUACGUCGGGAGUGAUGUUGUUCAACAACUACCUAAAUAUGCACUCUCUCCCGAGUAAUACAUACUAAAUAGCACAGCUAAUUGAGGAUCCUAUCAAUUAACUACAACAAGAACAUAGUUGAACAAAUAAAGAUUAUACUACGGCUCAACUAUAUAAAAACAUAACAAGAAUUUAUCCUACAAAAGGUUCCAUCAAAACCCUAAAUAACAAAUUAGCUAUUCAUAAUAGUAUGUAAAACUACAAUACUAAAAGUCAUAACCAACAAUGAAAAAUAGGAAGAGGAAGGAAAAACUCGUAAAAGAAUUUCCCGCCUUGCUCCUAUUGUGCCUCUGUCUCCUUAGGUCUAAAAUAUGUCAAAAGUGUGUCCAACCUCCUCAAAAUAGCAUUUUUACAUGUAUUUAUACCAAGUAGGGUCGGGCCUAAACGUAAAAACCCUUUCCUGCGCGAACUAGGACUUCGCUCUGUAAAAGUUGAACAGUCGCGCCACAGGCUGCACCGCACCAUGCGGCGCAUUAGUGUAUUUUAUCAGCAGCCUCGACUUUUCGCAUCAGGCAGCAUUUUACACUGCUGCGCCGCGCCUUGCGGCGCCCCAAUAUAAUUUUCUCAGAGUGAACUUAUUUCGCCCUCUUUUAACAUCCGAACUUGGUAUACUACCUCCGAUCACGAUCCCGGCUUAAUGUAUUGGGCUUUUACUCAGACUUCAAAGCUCCAAAUUGAUCAACUUAGCUCCAAAUUAACUUUUGAGCACAUGAUCAC
rnacentral:lncRNA from 1 species